rnacentral:lncRNA from 1 species
GGGGAGAUUGUAGAAUCAAUUGGAAAUCUGGUGUCACUUAGAUAUCUCAAUUUAUCACAUAAUCAUCUCAGAGGCCACAUACCACGGUCGAUUGGAAAAUUGACUGUGCUGGAGUCACUAGACCUCUCAUCCAAUGAACUUGAAGGAGAAAUUCCUCCGCAACUCACUGGUUUAUAUUCACUUGCAGUUCUAAAUCUUUCUUGCAACCAACUUAGAGGCCGUAUACCAGAAGGGUCACAAUUCAAUACGUUUGAAAUCUACAGCUACGCCGGGAACUUUGAAUUGUGUGGAAAACCCUUGUCAAAAAAGUGUGAAAAUUAUGUGAGGGUACACAAAGAAGACGAAGAAGAUGAGGAUGAAUAUUACUUUUUCAGUGGUUUUACAUGGGAAGCGGUGGUGAUUGGAUAUGGGUUUGGAGUGGUGCCUGCAUUUAUCGCCGGGUACUUGAUGUUGCUGGCACGGAAACCAAAAUGGUUUGCUGGAAUCAUUGGCAGGGAAUUGGGCCUCAAGAUCAGGAGGAUGGAGAUUAGAAUGCGAUAACUACAGGUUUGGUGUAAUCUGUAUCCCAUUCCCAGGUCUUGAAAAUUCUGUAAUAAUAUAGUAAUAUCUGCUCUCAUAUAAUUCUAUAUUUGCAGAUUCAGAUGGGACAAGCAGGAUUCAGAUGCAUUGCAUUGGAUUCAGAUGGGACAAGCAGGAUACAAGUUAUGUAGUAUUGUUUUGUUCCAGCUCUUAUCUGAUCUGCAAUCAAGUUAAUGAACCACUACCUCAGUUGUUAAGCAUCUUUCAGCAUUUUAAUUUUACAACUCACAAUAAAAGAUUACAUGUGUAUUAAUCUGAUCAUCAUUGGUUUAGAUCAAUAUAGAAGUUCGGCUUUGUUUAUUUCUAUCCCGGGCUCCUCAUUUUUAGAACAUAUUUGUUGAUACUUUUUAUGGAACGGUUAAGAAUAUUCCAUAGAUUUUUAUAUUCAGUGCUAGAUGAUUUUAUGUCCUGUUUUCAUUCCAAUUUCCGUUCAUGAACUAAUUAAAAAUCUGAAAGUGGGUCAUAUCUGGCAGUGAUGCCCACCUUUCUGGACCUGAAUUUCAUGACCACACAAACUCCAAUUCUGCCCAAAAAUUGCAGCUGUUUCGUAAAAUAUUUUUACGUGCUCUUUUGUUUGGACUUGUUUGCUGGACCAUGCAUAUGUUUUGAUACAAACAUCUUCGUGUAUGUUAACACUCUUGUGUCAGUUUCUGGACUCAUUGUUAGUAGCCCAUUCUUUACGGCAGACAUUGAAUUGGAUUUACUUGAAGAAAUGAAGGUUUAAGAAAGUUGAGAACAAUUUGUUGAUAAUUUCCUUCCCUAGAAACUGCACUCCAGCAUCAAAGUACCUUUCAAAGACUCCAGACAUCAUCUCUUGAUUAUCGAAGACUUGGUCUUGCAUAUACUGAUAUACAGUGAAUAUAGAUUUCUUUCAUUUCCUUGAAAUUGCAUUUUUGGAAGUAGCUCUCCAGACUCAUUCCCGUCACUUCUUAAAGUCUUAUUCCUCCUCAAUACUACAUACACGUAAUAUCACACCACUUUGCUCAUGCUCAGAUGGGUUUUUCUUACAAACCACAUAUGUUCACUUCUCAGAGUCUUAGUCCUCGUCAAUGUAUAGAGAUAAUAUCUCACCAUUUGCUAGUGCUACAAAUGGGCUUCUCCUACAACCACACAUAAUCGGAGAAAAGUCUGUCAAGUGUCAAGUGGACUUGAAAGACCCUUGUGCAUGGAUUAUUGUAUGUCAUGAAUGCCUUCUGAUAUCCCUGAAAGUGCAAGCAAGUUAUAAAAGUAGCUGGGCAGACUCUUUCUCAUCAAUACAUUCACAUUUAAAGCGGGCGUUGAUAUGCCUCCCUAAUUUUCUAAUGCCCUAGACGGAAUUCUAUUACAAUCCACAUAUGAUGGGUAGCGAUCAUCAAUUCAAAGAAGAGACUAUCAGCAGCUUGCAGGAAAUGUCCCCUCUGCAUGGAUUAUCGAAGAAAGGAACUUAUACCUAUAAAGAUGUAGAAAACCAAUGGUAAGCAUAACUGCAUAUAAGAUACAAAACUAAAUUUAAUACAAGACUCGUUCUGAGCAUUGGAAAAUAUAAUUCAUCCUGGUCUUCGUCUUCUACUUCUCCAAAUAUGCUUUUAUUGCAGCCAAUGUAUUAGUGAAAAGAAUUAAAUUUAAAUUAAUUGUAGACCGCAAAUAUAAGAUUAGGAGAGUUUCUACAACCCACAAAUUAGUAGACAGACUAAUAUGGUUAGUUGAGACCAUCAAUCUGGAGAAACUGUUUCUACAAUGACCCAUAUGUAUGAAUUAUUGAAGAAAGAAACUUAUACCUACAAUGUAAAGGAAAUGGUCACGAGUAUAUUGCAUUUUUAAUCCAAAUUGUAUAUGAUUCUCUCUGUGCUACUGAUAGUUAAUAAUAAAUCUACAACGGAACUUGCAGUUAAUCAAGGUAUUUAAGUCUACCUUUCUACAUUGUUGAAUAGUUUGAAUUAAAUAAUUGUAAUAAAUUUUUUGCUGGAUGCUGUGUGAGUUUACCAGAGCUUAUCACGGUGAGAAGUUCACUAAAGCUCUUGGAAUUAGUAAAUAAAAACUCAGGGCAGUGAAUUAGAAGUCUGAGUACAAGGCAAUGAGCAGGAAACAACAUAGGGAGUUUACAACUAGAAGUAUCUAUUCUCCCCCAGUCUUUUUGUGAACAUCAAGAGGCCAUUCAUAUUGCUCACAAACCAGUUAAAAGUGGCAGGACUACACAUAAUGAAUCACACAGUCACUUUAUGUGAGAAAAGAAAAUUGUCAGGACUGCAAUGCAUUUCUAGCCCAUUUUGUACAGCAGCUCAAACGUUUAAAAAACUUCAUUAAUUAUUUUCUUUUAUUGAAACCACACUCAUCCAUCAAAGUAGCUCUCAAAGUCUAAUUUCCAUCACCUUCUGAUUCUCAAAGUCUUCUUCUUCGUCUUAUAUUGCACGCCACAUAUUAGUAGACAUACUACAUCAACUCUGUAGAAAGAAACAAUCUAUAGUAGUUGAUGUACAAUGUUAUUAUGUAAAUGUAUAAUAUCAAAAUUAGGAAUAGAAAUCACGCCCUAAUAAUUAACCCUCUGCAGGGGUUAUUAAAGAAAGCAGCUUAUAACUUUAGUUGCUGAACAUUUGUGUGGGCCAAAUUCAAUUUUACACAUCAUUACUAGAUUUACACAUGGUAUUAGACAUCAGUACUAGUAUAAGAUGUUAAUCAAGUUUUGGAAUUUCUUUUAUUUCAGAAAACAAGUUUUUAACUCUCUUUUUUUUUUGUGGUAUUAAUUAUUUAUAUCACGCAUUUGAGCUUUAAAAUUAGCUCUAAAUAAAAGUUGAUUUUCGCUCAAAGAAACAAUGAUGUAUAAGAAGAUUUUCAGAACUGAAUUAUUUCUUUCCAUUUUUACAGUUCCAUUCAAGAACCGAAAGCAGCUCACAAAGACUCACUACAUCAUCUUUCAAUUCUCAUAGUGUUGGUCUUUGUCUUCUGCUGCUCAAAAAUUCUAUUACAGCCCACAUAUCAGUAUCAUAUACCUAAUUAUAAAUAGUAUUUAACACUUAACACCAUUAAAGAUUUGUCUCAGAGACUUACUUCCAUCACCUUAUGGUUCUCAAACUCUUCGUCUUCUAAUGCUCCAAAAGUUCUAUUAGUGCAGGCCACAUAUUGGUAAACAGACUACAAUUCAUCCAAAAUGACCCUCUUAUUGGACACUUUGAACACCUCUGUCUGUAUAUGCAUUGGAGAAGAAUUAUCAGCUCGUUAAAAUAACCUCUUCGCAUCAACUCUAUGGAAAGAAGCAAUUCAUACCUAAAGUACAAUGUUUGGAUAAAAUUAGGGAUAGCAACCGCACGCUAAUUUUUUAGUUGAAGCAGGCUACCUUAGUGUAAUUAACUGAACAUCCCCGUAAUUUCUUGACAGGCCACAAUUAAGGAAGUUUACAGAAUUACAUUCCAGAAGUAGCUCCCUGAGACAGAUUCGCAUCAUCUUUCAAUCUUCAAAGUUCUUUAUACUUAUAUUAUAUUUCAUGUUUUAUUGUAAUGAACAUAGCAGUUUCCUGUUCAGUAAUAUUCCAGGCUCAGGUUCUUCAUUCCAAGUCUCUGUUACAUGUUUGCUACUAAAACGUAUUAAACAGUUAUUAGUUUAUGACUGUAUUCCAUCUUGAAAGGAGAUCUCAAAGACUCAUUCCCAUAAUCUUCAGAAUCUCAAGUCUUGAUGAACUUGGCCUUCAUCAUAUUUGUACUCUUGUAAUUCCAUAUUAAUCAAGUUUAAAUAUUAAAAUUUUUAAUUUUAGUAAAUUUGUAAAAAUAGUAAAAUUUGUCUUAUUUAUAAUAUUUAUAAAUCUCUUACUUUCCUGUUACUGUAUUCAACUUAAUAAUUUUUACAAACACUGUGCAUCACAUAAGUUAUGUAAAUUUAGAACAAAUUAUGUCCAAUUUAUUUAAGAGAGAUUGUUAUAUUGUUUUUACUUUAAAAUUAAUGGUAUCUUUUAUUUUUAAUAUAAUUUACAGCUAAAAAUAUUUGAUAUAUUUUCACACUGCUUCUUAUUUUUGUAAUAUGACUAAACAUAUCUUAAAUACACUUUUUUCCUAUAUAUAUGCUAGCCUCUCGAGAUGUUGAAUAGAUCAUCCCAAACAAAAAAAUUUAAGGGAAAUAGAAAAUGAGGAAUUCCAUCCUCUGUUUUUCCACCAUCAGUUUGUUGCUCAUCUUCCUGCAGUUGCAGCACAACCUAGUGGCUUCUUCAUUAAGUCCCCACUUGCAGAAACUUGCCUUGUUCCACUUUAACCAAACCUUAACAAUCAGUACUACUAGCUGGGAUUGCGAGUACUAUUCCUACGAUGGAUAUUACGAAAUUCCUUCACGGGCAAAGACAAAGAAUUGGAGCAUGAGUUCCGAUCACUGCACAUGGGAGGGAGUUAGCUGCGACGACAAGACAGGGGACGUUAUCGGACUGGAUUUAAGUUGCAGUCAGCUGGAAGGAGCCAUUCUUUCUAACAGCACCCUCUUCCAGCUCUCUCAACUCCGCUUCCUCAAUCUUUCUCACAACGGCUUUUACAAUCAGUUCCCUCAGGAAUUUGGUUUCUUUGCAAAAGGUUUGACGCAUCUCAAUCUCUCUCGUACUGGAUUAUCAGGGAGAGUUCCCUCUGGAAUCUCUCAUUUGUAUAAACUGGUCUCACUUGAUCUCGGUCGCAACUAUAGGGCUUGGGCUAAACUUGAAGAAGAAGUGUUUAAAUCACUGUUGCAGAAUUUAACUCAUCUUGAAGUGCUUAAUCUUGAAGGGGUUAGCAUCUCCUCUGUUUUGCCCCUGAAUAUCUCUACUUCUUUAAGAUUUCUUGCUCUUGCGGGAACUGAAAUACACGGAGUAGUACCUCAAGAGGUUUUCCACCUUCCCAACUUGGAAUUUCUUCGUUUAUCAUAUAAUGACCACCUGAGAGUAACAUUACCCAAAGUUAAGUGGGGAAGUAGUGCUACUCUCCAACACCUUCAACUUUCAGGCGUCAACAUAGAUGGAGGUAUGCCUGACUCAAUAGGCUUUUUGGAGUCAUUAGUCAGUUUACAUCUGAUCCAGUGUAAUUUGUCUGGGCCGAUACCAAAAUUCAUUGGGCAACUCGUUCAACUUACUCACUUGGGCCUGGCUGCUAAUAAUCUCAGUGGCCCAAUUCUAACUUUUUUAACACGCCUUGCAGACUUCAGAUCUAUCUUCCCUUGAGCAUAACAAUUUUACUGGUCCGUUUCCCUCUUUUCUUGCCCACUCCAGUAAACUAGUUGAGUUGUAUCUUCAUAAUAAUAGCUUUACUGGAUCCCUACCUCGUUCGUUGUUUCACCAUCCAUCCUUAGAGAUCUUGAAUCUGGCAUAUAAUGCAUUCACGGGUCCACUACAUGAAUUUCAUUCUUCUUUGUCACGAUUGCGAUCUUUUUAUUGUUCCAGCAAUUUACUCAAUGGAUCCAUUCCACAUUCAUUUUCUCAACUUGUGAAUCUCACUGAACUAGAUCUUUCAUCAAACAAUUUCACCGGGGUUUUGGAUUUGGAAAUGUUUUCAGGCCUCAAAUCUCUAGGAAUUCUUCAUCUUUCUUAUAAUAGUCUUUCAGUGAGAACUACAACUAUGGCCACUCUCCCUCCUACGCUUAACGACUUGGCCUUGUCAUCUUGCAACAUGAAAGAGUUUCCUCACUUUUCAAGAGAUGCAAACAUCUUCCUCGAUUUUGUAGACCUAUCAAACAACAAAAUUGAAGGGGAAAUUCCACACUGGAUUGGGUCGGUGGGGAGGUACCCUUUCUAUCCAAUCCAUUAUCUGAAUCUUUCUCACAACGGACUAAUAUGCGGUCUUGAGCAACUGCCUUGGAGUCAUGUUGAAUUUCUUGAUCUCCAAUACAAUAAGCUGAAUGGAUCAUUGCCCACCUUGAUGUGUAAUUCCAGCUCUCUCCGGGUUCUAAAUCUCUCUCACAACAAGUUGAGUGGUGUACUCCCCAUUUGCCAUACAAAUUUGACUUCGCUUCGCGUGUUGGAUCUGCGGAGGAAUAAAAUUCAAGGAAACAUUCCAGCAACCUUGUCAAAUUUCCGUAACCUGGAAACUGUUAAUUUGAAUGGAAACCGAUUAGAAGGAAGCAUUCCUUCUUCUUUUGCUGGAUUUGAUUCUUUAGCCGUUCUUGAUCUUGGAAAUAAUCAGAUAAAUGAUACAUUCCCCCAGUGUUUGGAAGCUCUUCCCAAUCUCCAAGUUCUUGUUCUCAAAUCAAACAAGUUUUAUGGUCUUAUAAACACGAGUUCGAAGAUUGUACACCCAUUUCCAAGCUUGAGAAUCAUUGAUCUGUCGAAAAAUGAGUUUUCAGGUCCACUGCCAGCAAAAUACUUCAGAAACUUCAAGGCUAUGAUGGAUAGUGAUGUAAGCAAAAUAGAUCGUAGUUAUAUGAAUUAUGGUUCCUAUUACAGUGAUUCCACGACUCUGGUGAUUAAAGGAGUAGACAUGGAGUUGGUAAAGAUAUUAACUAUUUUUACAACCAUGGAUGUAUCAAGGAACCAUUUUGAAGGGGAGAUUGUAGAAUCAAUCGGAAAUCUAGUGUCACUUAGAGAUCUCAAUUUAUCUUACAAUCAUCUCACAGGCCACAUACCACGCUCGAUUGGAAAAUUGACUGUGUUGGAGUCACUAGACCUCUCAUCCAAUGAACUUGAAGGAGAAAUUCCUUCGCAACUCACUGGUUUAUAUUCACUUGCAGUUCUAAAUCUGUCUUGCAACCAACUCAGCGGUCAUAUUCCACAAGGUUCUCAGUUUAAUACAUUUGAUGCUGAUAGCUAUGGUGGUAACUUCGGGCUGUGUGGAAAUCCAUUGUCCAAAACGUGUGAAC